rnacentral:lncRNA from 1 species
GACAAUGAGUUUCUGAGGCUGAGACAUAUGAGUUGAGGUUCUGAGAAAUAUGACAGUUUGACUAGAAGGCUCUGAGACAUAUUGAUUGUUUUACUGGAAUGUUCUGAGACAUUGACAGUUGAAGGUCUGCGACAUAUUGGAGUUGACUAGAGUCUGAGACAUAUGACGUUUGACUGGAAGUUUGGACAUUGACGUUUGACUGGAAGGUCUGAGACUAUUGACAGUUUGACUGGAAGGUUCUGAGACUAUGACAGUUUGACUGGAAGGUUCUGAGACAUAUUGACAGUUUGACUGGAAGGUUCUGAGACAUAUUGACAGUUGAAGGUUCUGAGACAUAUUGACAGUUUGACUGGAAGGUUCUGAGACAUAUUGACAGUUGAAGGUUCUGAGACAUAUUGACAGUUUACCAAACCUGCUUUAUAAUUUGACAACGACAAUCCAUUGUUACCCAGCCCUCCAUUUGUCUCCAGUCUCUCACACAGGGCUGGAAGGCCCGUUGGCCCCAGUUUUCAAUCCACAGACUGUAUGGAUAUUUCAGCAAACAGCUUUCAAUUCAGCGAUUGUCAAUCCCCUUGUUCUGAUUGGGGCAGUAAAGAACACCAUGUUGAUUCACCAUGUUGAUUCCAACAGUCCAGUAUUUUCYCUCCCUCCAACCCGGCUGGUCGUUAGAUUGGGGCAGUAAAGGACACCAUGUUGACUCCAACAGUCCAGUAUUUUCCCUCCCUCCAACCCGGCUGGUCGUUAGAUUGGGACAGUAAAGAACGCCAUGUUGACUCCAACAGUCCAGUAUUUUCCCUCCCUCCAACCCCAGCAUCAGUCAG